rnacentral:rRNA from 1 species
GAGUUUGAUCGUGGCUCAGGACGAACGCUGGCGGCGCGCUUAACACAUGCAAGUCGAGCGAGAACCAGGCCUUCGGGCUUGGGGAAAGCGGCGAACGGGUGAGUAACACGUGGGUAACCCACCCUUGGUACCGGGAUAGCCCGGGGAAACCCGGAUUAAUACCGGAUGGCCCAACAGCUCUUCGGGGCGGUUGGAAAAGGUAGCUUCGGCCUCCGACCAAGGACGGGCCCGCGGCGGAUUAGCUUGUUGGUGAGGUAACGGCUCACCAAGGCGACGAUCCGUAGCUGGUCUGAGAGGACGAUCAGCCACACUGGGACUGAGACACGGCCCAGACUCCUACGGGAGGCAGCAGUGGGGAAUCUUGCGCAAUGGGCGAAAGCCUGACGCAGCGACGCCGCGUGGGGGAAGAAGGGCUUUCGGGUUGUAAACCCCUUUCAGGAAGGACGAAGCUACUCGGGUUAAUAGCCCAGAGGGUGACGGUACUUCCAGAAGAAGCCCCGGCUAACUACGUGCCAGCAGCCGCCGCCGUAAC